AUGUAGACACACACACAUAUUUUUACAUAUAUAUAUAUAUAUAUAUAUAUAUAUACACACACACAUAUAUACAUGUAUAUAUGUGUGUGUGUGUGUGUGUAUAUAUAUAUAAAAUGUA
rnacentral:miRNA from 1 species